rnacentral:misc_RNA from 1 species
UCUCACCAAUUUUAAGGAUCAGGGGCUUAAGGCACCCGCCAGGCCACAAGAAGCACGUUGUCUCUCUUGUAAGAUUAAUGCUAGUUUACCAAACGUUUUUUUCCUUUUCCUUUUUUGGUUGGGUCAUUGUUUUUCUCAUUUGCGUAAAUUGCUUUGUUUCUUGUUAGGAUUCUUUGAUUAAAGAAUGGAUAUCUGAAGUAUUUGUUAAUAGUUUCUUAUGUCGUGUUUGAAUCAUGACCACAUAAUUUGAUUAGUUUAAUGUUUCAGAUAAAUGAAUAUACAUUUCUGCUGAUUUAG